AUGGAGCGGAACCCAGAGUUCGCCGCUCUCGGCGCUCUUGGGCUCGCCGGCAUCUGCCGCGAGACCCUCCGCGUCGCCCGAUCCCGUCCCCCGGGCUUCGCCAUCUUGUCCGGCGAGGUGACCGUGCUCGCUCUCUCCUUGCUCGCCCACGUCCCCAUCUCCCGCGCCCUCUUCUCUGACGCCCUCGCCUCCGCCGACGCUGGCACCGGCCUCCGCCGUCUCGUCGCGAACUGGGCGCCCUUCUUCCUCGUAGAUGCCGCUUUCCUCGUCGACAUCGUCGUCCAGUGGCUCGCUGACGCCGCCUGCUGCGUCUUCUCCGUCGCCCCGCGCUACGGCGUCACCGACGACCGCGACGCCCGCUCCAUCGCGCGCGACCUCCGCACCGUGCCCAGGUUCGUGGCCACGUUCCUCGUGUCCGUCUUCCGAGGCGACUCCCGCAGCGCCGCGCGCCUCGUCCGGACGGGCCCCGAGGUCGCCUGCCGCCUCCUGGCCUCCUGGCUCCGCGUCUUCCUCCUCCUCCUCGGCUACACCGCAUUCUUCGGCGCCGCCGCCUCCUGGCUCGCGCACGGCCGCCUCCUCGACGUUGCUCCGGGCGAGGAGAGCGGCGUGCAGCUUCAGCUUCCUCGGGCGGCGCUCCUGCUGGGCGGAGCCGCGUACCUCGCCGGGGCGGUGUACAUCGGCGCGGUGUGGUGGCGCGUCGCCUGCGUGAUGCUGGUGCUGGAGGACGUCGGGGGCUUCUUCCAAGCCAUGCACAUGAGCGACGAGCUCCUCGCCGGCAAGACCUGGGCCGCUGCCGCAGUCUUCUCGACGCUCGACGGCUGCGUCGUCGCCGUGCAGCUGGCUUUCGGGGCGCUGGUGGUGGACGACAGGAUGAGCCUCGGCGUCUGGCUCCGGGUGGCCGCGGGUGUGGUGAUGGCGGUGGCGCUAUGGGCGGCGCUGAUGGCAGGGCUGGUGGCGCAGGUGGUGGUGUUCUUCGUGUGCAAGAGCUACCACCGCGAGAGACAGCUUCUACGGCACGGCGGCGAAGAGGAAGAGCCUCGCCCGCAUCGGCCGGAGAGGAGAAGCCGUCAGGAAGCGCCCAGCAACACUGCAACUGCCUAG
rnacentral:rRNA from 1 species